rnacentral:rRNA from 1 species
AUGACUGCAAGCGCAAGUUUGGAGAGGGAGCAGAGAGCCAUAAACAGAAGAAACGGACGUGAGUCGUCAUUCGCUUCAAGUGGGAGUCAUGUCCCAAAAGCCACUAAUGGUAGGAUGAGCAAAGGCAUGAAAGCAAUGUUAAAACUUCACGCGGUUCAGGCGGCGUACGCUGCUGCUGAGGAGAAACGAUGUGCUCUUGAGGAGGAACAGUUUGGCAGACUUCCUGAUCGAGAUGGGUCGGCCAGUUCCUUUGAAGAGAGACAGUUUGGUUAUUUGGUUGGACGUGGUCAAGAGUACUACCGAACCUGCACCAAUACAACCAGAGAUCUGUCUUCCAUUGUCGUCUCGAUUGCUUUGUUUGACGGAGAUGAGAUGUUAUUUGCAUGCUCGGGCAUGUGUAUCACACGGGUCAACUCAAUUUCAGCUGACAAGAUUUGCGACUUCGGCGUGUUUGGUUACCGCAUAUAA